rnacentral:rRNA from 1 species
AGCAGCCGCGGUAAUUCCAGCUCCAAUAGCGUAUAUUAAAGUUGUUGCAGUUAAAAAGCUCGUAGUUGAAUUUCGGGAUCAAGGGAUCGGUCAUGCCUUGGUAUGUACUGGUCUUAUUGGUUCUCACCUUCUAAAGAACCAUGAUGUCAUUUAUUUGAUGUUAUGGGGAAUUAGGACUGUUACCUUGAAAAAUUAGAGUGUUUAAAGCAAGCUUACGCUUGAAUACAUUAGCAUGGAAUAAUGAAAUAGGACAUCAGAUUCUAUUUUGUUGGUUUCUAGGAUCGAUGUAAUGAUUAAUAGGGAUAGUUGGGGGCAUUAGUAUUCAAUUGUCAGAGGUGAAAUUCUUGGAUUUAUUGAAGACUAACUACUGCGAAAGCAUUUGCCAAGGAUGUUUUCAUUAAUCAAGAACGAAAGUUAGGGGAUCGAAGACGAUCAGAUACCGUCGUAGUCUUAACCAUAAACUAUGCCGACUAGGGAUCGGAUGAUGUUUAAUUUUUAAUGUACUCU